rnacentral:rRNA from 1 species
CAGCAGCCGCGGUAAUACAGAGGGUGCAAGCGUUAAUCGGAAUUACUGGGCGUAAAGCGUGCGUAGACGGUUACAUAAGUCGGGUGUGAAAGCCCCGGGCUCAACCUGGGAAUUGCAUUCGAGACUGCGUAGCUAGGGUGCGGAAGAGGGAAGCGGAAUUUCCGGUGUAGCGGUGAAAUGCGUAGAUAUCGGAAGGAACACCAGUGGCGAAAGCGGCUUCCUGGUCCAGCACCGACGUUCAGGCACGAAAGCGUGGGGAGCAAACAGGAUUAGAUACCCUGGUAGUCCACGCCAUAAACGAUGAGAACUAGACGUUGAAGGGGUAAGCCCUCCAGUGUCGUAGCUAACGCGCUAAGUUCUCCGCCUGGGGAGUACGGCCGCAAGGUUGAAACUCAAAUAAAUUGACGG